AAGUCGUAACAAGGUCUCCGUUGGUGAACCAGCGGAGGGAUCAUUACUGAGUUAUCACAACUCCCAACCCAUGUGAACUUACCUUCUGUUGCCUCGGCAGGGCGCACCACCCCGCGAGGGGUUUUGCUGGCCUGCCGGUGGACUACUAAACUCUUGUUUUUUUGUGGAACUCUGAGUAACAAAACAUAAUAAUCAAAACUUUCAACAACGGAUCUCUUGGUUCUG
rnacentral:misc_RNA from 1 species